rnacentral:rRNA from 1 species
GGGAACAUACCCUUUACUACGGAACAACUCCGGGAAAUUGGAGCUAAUACCGUAUGUGCCCUUCGGGGGAAAGAUUUAUCGGUAAAGGAUUGGCCCGCGUUGGAUUAGCUAGUUGGUGGGGUAAAGGCCUACCAAGGCGACGAUCCAUAGCUGGUCUGAGAGGAUGAUCAGCCACAUUGGGACUGAGACACGGCCCAAACUCCUACGGGAGGCAGCAGUGGGGAAUAUUGGACAAUGGGCGCAAGCCUGAUCCAGCCAUGCCGCGUGAGUGAUGAAGGCCUUAGGGUUGUAAAGCUCUUUCACCGAUGAAGAUAAUGACGGUAGUCGGAGAAGAAGCCCCGGCUAACUUCGUGCCAGCAGCCGCGGUAAUACGAAGGGGGCUAGCGUUGUUCGGAAUUACUGGGCGUAAAGGGCGCGUAGGCGGACAUUUAAGUCAGGGGUGAAAUCCCAGAGCUCAACUCUGGAACUGCCUUUGAUACUGGGUGUCUUGAGUGUGAGAGAGGUAUGUGGAACUCCGAGU